GACGAACGCUGGCGGCGUGCCUAAUGAAUGCGAGUCGAACGAGAUCCAGGUGGAGUCUUCGGACAAUACCUGGUGACAGUGGCGAACGGGUGAGUAACACGUGGGUAACCUGCCCUUCAGUCGGGCAUAACAGGGGGAAACCCCUGCUAAUUCCCGAUAUGCUUACGCGGCACAAGUCGCGUAAGGAAAGCUCCGGCGCUGAAGGAUGGACCCGCGGUCGAUUAGCUAGUUGGUGAGGUAACGGCUCACCAAGGCGAUGAUCGAUAGCCGACCUGAGAGGUUGAUCGGCCACAUUGGGACUGAGACACGGUCCAGACUCCUACGGGAGGCAGCAGUGAGGAAUCUUGCGCAAUGGGGGAAACCCUGACGCAGCAACGCCGCGUGAGUGAGGAAGGCCUUCGGGUCGUAAAGCUCUGUCAGAUGGGAAGAAAUGGAUGGGGCUAAUAUCGCCCAUCCUUGACGGUACCAUCAGAGGAAGCACCGGCUAACUCCGUGCCACG
rnacentral:rRNA from 1 species